rnacentral:rRNA from 1 species
CCCUUAGAUGUUCUGGGCCGCACGCGCGCUACACUGAUACAUGCAACGAGUUUAUAACCUUGAUCUGACGGUCUGGGUAAUCUUCAAACUGUAUCGUGUUAGGGAUCGAUUCUUGCAAUUUUUAAUCGUAAACGAGGAAUUCCUAGUAAACGCAAGUCAUCAGCUUGCAUUGAUUACGUCCCUGCCCUUUGUACACACCGCCCGUCGACUCUACCGAUUGAAUGGUUCGGUGAAAACUUUGGACUGUGGCAUCGUCCUUCAUUGGACUUCGCCGUAGGAAAUUGUUUAAACCUCAUCAUUUAGAGGAAGAAUAAGUCGUAACA